UGCAGUCGAACGAACUCUGGUAUUGAUUGGUGCUUGCAUCAUGAUUUACAUUUGAGUGAGUGGCGAACUGGUGAGUAACACGUGGGAAACCUGCCCAGAAGCGGGGGAUAACACCUGGAAACAGAUGCUAAUACCGCAUAACAACUUGGACCGCAUGGUCCGAGUUUGAAAGAUGGCUUCGGCUAUCACUUUUGGAUGGUCCCGCGGCGUAUUAGCUAGAUGGUGGGGUAACGGCUCACCAUGGCAAUGAUACGUAGCCGACCUGAGAGGGUAAUCGGCCACAUUGGGACUGAGACACGGCCCAAACUCCUACGGGAGGCAGCAGUAGGGAAUCUUCCACAAUGGACGAAAGUCUGAUGGAGCAACGCCGCGUGAGUGAAGAAGGGUUUCGGCUCGUAAAACUCUGUUGUUAAAGAAGAACAUAUCUGAGAGUAACUGUUCAGGUAUUGACGGUAUUUAACCAGAAAGCCACGGCUAACUACGUGCCAGCAGCCGCGGUAAUACGUAGGUGGCAAGCGUUGUCCGGAUUUAUUGGGCGUAAAGCGAGCGCAGGCGGUUUUUUAAGUCUGAUGUGAAAGCCUUCGGCUCAACCGAAGAAGUGCAUCGGAAACUGGGAAACUUGAGUGCAGA
rnacentral:rRNA from 2 species